AUUGAACGCUGGCGGCAUGCUUUACACAUGCAAGUCGAACGGCAGCGCGGUCUUCGGGCUGGCUGCGCGUGGCGAACGGGUGUGUAAUGCAUCGGAACGUCCCCAGUAGUGGGGGAUAGCCCGGUGAAAGCCGGAUUAAUACCGCAUACGACCUGAGGCUGAAGGCGGGGGGGCGAAGGACCUUGCGCUAUUGGGGGGGCGGAUGUCGGGGUAGCUAGUUGGUGGGGUAGAGGCUUACCUAGGCGACCAUCCGUAGCUGGCCUGAGAGGACGAGUGGCCACACUGGGACGUGGACAGGGACCAUGCUCCUGCGGUAGGCAGCAGUGGGGAAUUGUAGACAAUGGUGGCAAACCUGAUACAGCCAUGCCGCGUGCGGUACGACGGCCUUCGGGUUGUAAACCCCUUUUGUUCGGGAAGAAAUCCUCUGGGCUAAUACCCCGGGGGGAUGACGGUACCGGAAGAAUAAGCACCGGCUAACUACGUG
rnacentral:rRNA from 1 species